rnacentral:rRNA from 1 species
AGAGUUUGAUCCUGGCUCAGGAUGAACGCUGGCGGCGUGCCUAACACAUGCAAGUCGAGCGAUUCUCUUCGGAGAAGAGCGGCGGACGGGUGAGUAACGCGUGGGUAACCUGCCCUGUACACACGGAUAACAUACCGAAAGGUAUGCUAAUACGGGAUAACAUAAGAAAUUCGCAUGUUUUUCUUAUCAAAGCUCCGGCGGUACAGGAUGGACCCGCGUCUGAUUAGCUAGUUGGUGAGGUAACGGCUCACCAAGGCGACGAUCAGUAGCCGACCUGAGAGGGUGAUCGGCCACAUUGGAACUGAGACACGGUCCAAACUCCUACGGGAGGCAGCAGUGGGGAAUAUUGCACAAUGGGCGAAAGCCUGAUGCAGCGACGCCGCGUGAGUGAAGAAGUAUUUCGGUAUGUAAAGCUCUAUCAGCAGGGAAGAAAAUGACGGUACCUGACUAAGAAGCCCCGGCUAACUACGUGCCAGCAGCCGCGGUAAUACGUAGGGGGCAAGCGUUAUCCGGAUUUACUGGGUGUAAAGGGAGCGUAGACGGAGUGGCAAGUCUGAUGUGAAAACCCGGGGCUCAACCCCGGGACUGCAUUGGAAACUGUCAAUCUAGAGUACCGGAGAGGUAAGCGGAAUUCCUAGUGUAGCGGUGAAAUGCGUAGAUAUUAGGAGGAACACCAGUGGCGAAGGCGGCUUACUGGACGGUAACUGACGUUGAGGCUCGAAAGCGUGGGGAGCAAACAGGAUUAGAUACCCUGGUAGUCCACGCCGUAAACG